AGGCCUGAUUAUAGAAUUCUAGCAGGGGGGGAGACCAGAGGCGGACCAAUCUUGAUCAAAAAUUCUUGAGGCAAUGAAACUCUCCUUCUCAAUCCCCAAAUCAGCCGCCAAAUCCACACCUAAACCUAAACCUUCCUCUGAAAUUGAUAUCGUUACCCAAAACAAUGGCACUGUUAAAGAAUACGUCACCGAAUUUGAUCCCUCUAAAACCCUACCCAAUUCCAAUAGGAAUCUCAUCAUCCCCCCUAAAGAGAACGAAUGGAGACCUCACAAGCGAAUGAGGAACCACGACCUCCUUCCCACUCUCCAAUCCGACAACGAAGGCCUUCGCUUUGAGAUUGCCACCGAUGGCCACGGCGAGGACGAUAAGAGUGUGUCCUACGGCCUUAAUAUCCGGCAGCAAGGCAGCGCCGACGGAGAUAAGGGCGAUGGUGACGAAGGAGUCAAAUCUCACCAGAAAGAAGAAAGUACUGAGAAUUUGUUGUUGGAGAAGUUGAAGUAUGAUCUCCAGCGGUUGCCGGAUGAUCGAGGAUUUGAGGAGUUUAAGGAUGUGCCUGUAGAAGGGUUUGGCGCGGCUUUGCUGGCUGGUUAUGGUUGGCAUGAAGGGAGAGGUAUCGGGAGGAAUGCUAAGGAAGAUGUCAAAGUCAAGCAAUACCACAAGAGAACUGAUAAAGAAGGGUUGGGUUUUGUUCCUCCUGCUUCUAAUGCUGCAAGUACUAGUGUUAAGGAUAGAGACAGGCAAAAGGAGAGGAAAAGAGAAAGAGACAGAAAUGAACCUACUGAUGGUUUCUUUGUUGGUAAAGUUGUCAGAGUUAUUGCCGGUGGAAAAGGUAUUUUGGGUUCAAAGGGUAGAAUUUCAAAGAGGCUAGAUGAUGGUCGGGUUAUUUUGAAGCUUUCAGAAACUGAGGAGGAGCAAAAACUGCGUAUUUCUGAUAUUGCUGAUUUGGGCUCUAGAGAAGAAGAGAAGUGCUUGAGGAAGUUGAAAAUGAUACAGAGAGAAGGCAAGCAACCGAACGAUGGGGACAAUGAAAAGCGCAUUGCUGAAUCAAUUAAAGAAAGCAGAGAGAGUAUGAGGAGAGACAGCGGUCAAGAGAAGGAUGACAGAAAGCGAUGGCUCAGAAAUCACAUUCGGGUCAGAAUUAUAAGCAAGGACUUGAAAGGAGGCAAAUUUUAUUUGAAGAAGGGGCAGGUGGUAGACGUGGUUGGUCCAUAUCUAUGUGAUAUAUCCAUGGAUGAGACUAAGGAGUUGGUACAGGGAAUAGAUCAGGACCUUCUCGAGACUGCAUUACCCCGACGUGGGGGUCCGGUCCUUGUUCUGUAUGGGAAGCACAAGGGGACGUAUGGUAAUUUGGUUCAGAGGGAUUUGGACCAAGAGACUGGGAUUGUGCAAGAUUCUGAUACCCAUGAAUUGCUCAAUGUCAAACUUGAACAAAUUGCAGAGUAUGUUGGGGAUCCCAGCUACAUUGGGUAUUGAUGCUUCUGGAGCCUCUUUAGUCCAUGCUGCCAAUAGAUAUGUUGGAGGAGACCUGUACUGGGGCCUGAAUUUGUAGAGACACCACAAAAGCUUACUUGCUGAACUUGGGUAUGAUCCACACGGAAUCACCAACCCCCCAACAAGUCUCAAAGUGAUGUCUGAAGGUCAGCUGGAUGUAAUAAUUUCUAUAUUUGGGAAGGAAAACGCUGGUAACAUUAUCAAAUACGGUUACAAGAGGUGUUGGCUUCAUCCGAGGUUGAGGUUGAAGUUGGAGUUCUUUGUUUUCUCCAAUGACUUUCAACCUCAAUUCCCCAGAAGUCACAUUAAAUGAAGGUAUGUAGUCAAUUUUCGUGAAAGCAAUAACUUAAGCAGGCUGGUUGUGGAACCUGGGACGAACUGACCGAUUGCAGUCUUUUUUUGUUUAUGUAACUAUGAAAGCAGUCGUAGAAUCAUUUGAGUUGUUAAACUAACGUGCAAUGGGAGUACAAAAAUUUUCUUGAAAAAAUGUAAUCCAAAAUAAUCUUUGUACUAUUUGCAAUUGCUUGAAUUCAAUCCUAGAAGUUUCUUCUUUUCCAAA